GACGAACGCUGGCGGCGUGCCUAAUACAUGCAAGUCGAACGCAGUGGGGACGGGUGAGUAACACGUGGGUAACCUCCCAUCAGAGGGGAUAACACUUGGAAACAGGUGCUAAACCGAUACUGAUGGAUGGACCCGGGGUGCAUUAGCUAGUUGGUGAGGUAACGGCUCACCAGGGCCACGAUGCAUAGCCGACCUGAUGGGAAGAUCGGCCACACUGGGACUGAGACACGGCCCGGACUCCUACUGGAGGCAGCAGUAGGGAAUCUUGGGCAAUGGACGAAAGUCUGAUCUAGCUACGCCGCGUAAGUGAAGAAGGUUUUCGGAUCGUAAAACGCUGUUGUUAGAGGAGCGGUAUCUAACCAGAAAGCCACGGCUAACUACGUGCCAGCAGCCGCGGUAAUAC
rnacentral:rRNA from 1 species